rnacentral:rRNA from 1 species
CCCUUAGAUGUUCUGGGCCGCACGCGUGCUACACUGAGUGGAUCAGCGGGUCAGGUUGCGCGAAAGUGUUUCCUAAUCUUGAAAUCCGCUCGUGAUGGGGAUUGACGGUUGCAAUUUUCCGUCAUGAACGAGGAAUACCUUGUAAGCGUGGGUCAUCAUCCCGCGCUGAAUACGUCCCUGCCCUUUGUACACACCGCCCGUCGCUCCUACCGAUUGAGUGGUCCGGUGAGGCUUUGGGAUCUGAGCAAAGAGAGCGUUUCGCUCGUUUUGCCCGGAAAACUCAGUCGAACCUUAUCAUUUAGAGGAAGGAGAAGUCGUAACA